UCUAAAAUAGCUUAAAAUAAAGCACUAACUUUGUAACUUAGAGAUGGAAUUAUUUACCUUUUAGAU
rnacentral:tRNA from 1 species